rnacentral:rRNA from 1 species
GCCUACGGGGCGCAGCAGUGGGGAAUAUUGGGCAAUGGGCGCAAGCCUGGCCCAGCAACGCCGCGUGAAGGAAGAAGGCUUUCGGGUUGUAAACUUCUUUUGUCAGGGACGAAGCAAGUGACGGUACCAGACGAAUAAGCAUCGGCUAACUCCGUGCCAGCAGCCGCGGUAAUACGGAGGAUGCGAGCGUUAUCCGGAUUUAUUGGGUUUAAAGGGUGCGUAGGCAGUCUGUUAAGUCAGCGGUAAAAUUGCGGGGCUCAACCCCGUCGAGCCGUUGAAACUGGCAGACUUGAGUUGGC